UACGUAGGAGACGAGCAUUGUCCGGAGUUACUGGGCGUAAAGGGUGCGCAGGCGGCCCUGCGCGUCGCGAGUGAAAUCUCCCGGCUCAACUGGGAGGGUGGUCGCGAGACGGCAGGGCUUGAGGCUCGGUGAGGGGCGUGGAAUUCCGGGUGGAGCGGUGAAAUGCGUAGAGGUCCGGAGGAACACCAACGGCGUAGGCAGCGCCCUAGACGAGACCUGACGCUCAGGCACGAAAGCGCGGGGAGCGAACAGG
rnacentral:rRNA from 1 species